AUGAAGCUCAGUUUACUAUGCGGUGCUGCAUUCUUUUUCCUGCAGGCAGGUCCAGUGAGUGCUGGCAUUACUCAGAAUCCCAAAUCGAUGCUCAUGAAGACAGGGCAACAUGUGACAAUGAAAUGCACUCAGGAUAUGAAACAUGACUCCAUGUUCUGGUACCGACAGGAUCCAGGGCUGGGGCUGAGGCUAAUCUACUACUCGUAUGAUGUUGGCAUCACUGACAAAGGAGACGUCCCUGAGGGGUACAAUGUUUCCAGAUCAAACACAGAGGAUUUUUUCCUUAUUCUGCAGUCAGCGUCCCCCUCCCAGACAUCUGUGUACUUCUGUGCCAGCAGUUAUACCACAGAGCUGUGUGCCUGCCUCCUCUCUGCACAUAAAGAUACAUGCAGAGAAGAGGCACCCACCCCUGGAACUCAGUGGCAUGUUGGAAUUCUCAGUGCUGGAAACUUGGAGCUCUGA